UACGUAGGGACCGAGCGUUGUCCGGAAUCAUUGGGCGUAAAGAGCGUGUAGGCGGCUCGCUAAGUCUUGCGUGAAAUCUCGGGGCUCAACCCCGAGCGGUCGUGAGAAACUGGCGGGCUAGAGUGCGGGAGAGGAGAGUGGAAUUCCUGGUGUAGCGGUGAAAUGCGCAGAUAUCAGGAAGAACACCAGUGGCGAAGGCGGCUCUCUGGAACGCAACUGACGCUGAGACGCGAAAGCGUGGGGAGCAAACAGG
rnacentral:rRNA from 1 species